rnacentral:piRNA from 1 species
CUCGGAAGCAGUCCUGGCAGACC